rnacentral:tRNA from 1 species
UCCGAUAUGGUCUAGUGGCUAGGAUUUGCCGCUCUCAUCUGAGAGUUCACAGUGGUGCCGGCAAGGCCCGGGUUCGAUUCCCGGUGUCGGAA